GCCUCGCGCCGCCGUUCCCGCUGGCGCGCGCGCUGGCUCUACCGCCGCCCGCCACCAUUGGCUGCCGGGGGUCAGGUGACCCCGUGUUAUUUCCUGUGUGUGUGUGAGGUGUGAGUGAGGGGAGGAGGAUGGAACCGGACGCCCCCGCGCCCCCGCCCGCCCCCCGGCCCCGCCGCCCCGGCUGCUGAGCCGCCCCGCCCCGCCCGCCGCGGCGGAGGGCGCCGGGCACGGCGGCGGGGGGGGGUCUCAGGAGGGCUUUCGAGCUACUGCUCUGCUGCUGAACAGCAUGCAGUCCUUUCGGGAGCAAAGUAGUUAUCACGGAAACCAGCAGAGCUACCCGCAGGAAGUGCACACUUCAUCCCGACUGGAAGAGUUCAGCCCCCGCCAGCAGGCCCAGAUGUUCCAGAGCUUUGGAGGAGGUGCUGGCAGUGGACGUCGUGGAGCAACAGGAGCCUCUACAGCAAUGCCUGGUGAGAGCUCUGGCCAUCAGAGCUACCAAGGUUUCAGAAAAGAAGCAGGAGAGUUUUACUAUAUGGCUGCCAACAAAGAUCCAGUGGUAUCAGGAGGGCAGCAGCCGCCUCAGCGCAGGCCUUCUGGACCAGUACAGAGCUAUGGGCCCCCUCAAGGGAGUAGCUUUGGGAGUCAGUAUGGGAGUGAGGGACAUGUGGGCCAGUUCCAAACACAGCACUCGACCCUUGGGGGUGUAUCCCACUAUCAACAGGAUUAUACUGGUCCUUUUUCUCCAGGGAGUGCCCAGUAUCAGCAGCAGGCUUCUAGCCAGCAGCAGCAGGUGCAGCAGCUGAGACAGCAGAUCUAUCAAUCUCAUCAGCCUUUACCCCAGGCUUCCAGCCAGUCUGCUUCUAGCACCUCACACUUGCAGCCAAUGCAGCGUCCAUCCACCCUGCCUUCCUCUGCUUCAGGCUACCAGUUACGAGUGGGUCAGUUCAGCCAACACUAUCAGCCACCUUCGUCAUCCUCCUCCUCCUCUUUCCCUUCCCCACAGCGUUUUGGCCAGUCAGGACAGAAUUAUGACGGAAGCUACAACGUGAAUUCUGGGUCGCAGUACGAAGGCCAUGCUGUGGGUUCCAAUGCACAGGCCUAUGGCACCCAGUCAAACUACAGCUUUCAAACUCAACCGAUGAAAAGCUUUGAGCAGUCUAAGCUGCCCCAAAGUGGGCAGCAGGGGCAGCAGCAACAGCACCCACCUCAACACGUAAUGCAGUAUUCAAAUGCUGCCACCAAACUCUCUCUUCAAAGUCAAGUGGGACAGUACAGCCAGACUGAAGUUCCUGUAAGGUCACCGAUGCAGUUCCACCAAAACUUCAGUCCAAUCUCUAAUCCAUCUCCUGCUGCAUCUGUGGUUCAGUCUCCAAGCUGCAGCUCUACCCCUUCUCCACUCAUGCCAGGCGGAGAAAAUCUCCAGUGUGGGCAAGGCAACAUGUCCAUGGGUUCUCGAAACCGAAUCCUGCAGAUGAUGCCUCAGCUUAGUCCUACACCAUCUAUGAUGCCAAGCCCCAAUGCUCAUGCGAGUGGAUUCAAGGGAUUUGGACUGGAAGGACUGCAGGAAAAAAGGCUCACAGAUCCAGGACUGAGCAGCCUGAGUGCUCUAAGUUCUCAAGUUGCCAAUCUGCCCAACACAGUCCAGCACAUGUUGCUCUCAGAUGCUUUGGCACCUCAGAAAAAAAGUUCCAAAAGAUCAUCCUCUUCCAAGAAGGCUGACAGUUGCACCAACUCAGAAGGCUCCUCCCAGGCAGAGGAGCAACUCAAGUCACCUAUGGCAGAGUCCCUGGAUGGUGGCUGUUCCAGUAGUUCAGAGGAUCAUGGGGAAAGGGUGAGACAGCUGAGUGGCCAGAGUACCAGCUCAGACACCACUUACAAAGGGGGUAAUUUAGAGAGACCCAACUCCUCACCAGCACAAGGUUCUCAGAAUGAGCCAUCAAAACUCAGCAGCAGUCCUGCAGCUAGGGAGGAUGUGGCCUCCCCUGAUGGGAAGGAAGCUGUGGUGGCUGUGGAAAAUGCCCCAAAAGUGAAUGAAAAGGCAGUUGGGGUGAUUGUCUCCCGGGAAGCCAUGGCAGGAAGAGUAGAAAAGUCAGGUGGACAAGAUAAACCUGCACAAGAUGAUGCUUCCACAGCCCCUCAGGCACCAGCUAGCACUAGUGGAGCAAAAGAAGCUGGGCAUGCAGGGACACAGCAAGAGACUCAAGGAGGAGGUAAAGGGAGCAAAAGUGGUGAUAACACUAACCAUAAUGGGGAGGGGAACAGCCAGCCUGGUCAUGCAGUUGUUGGGCCGAAUUUUCCUGCAAGAACAGAAUCUUCCAAGUCUCCUGGCAGUUUAAGAUACAGCUACAAGGAUAAUAUAGCACCUGGUAUACAGAGAAGUAUGGGUGGCUUUCCACAGUAUCCAUCUGGUCAAGAAAAGGGGGAUUUUCCAGGGCAUAGUGAGCGCAAAGGCCGUAAUGAGAAGUUUCCUAGUCUCCUCCAAGAGGUUUUACAGGGGUACCACCAUCAUCCAGACAGAAGGUAUUCUAGGAACGCGCAGGAGCAUUCUGGGAUGGCUGGGAGUUUGGAGGGAGCCAUGAGGCCCAAUGUUUUAAUUAGUCAAACCAAUGAAUUGACCAAUAGAGGCCUCUUAAACAAAAGCAUGGGGUCCCUCCUAGAGGGCCCUCACUGGGGUCCCUGGGAUAGGAAGUCUAGCAGUGCAGCUCCAGACAUGAAGCAGAUAAAUUUAGCUGAUUACCCUAUUGCUAGAAAGUUCGAUGUGGAGUCUCAGUCUGCUGCCCAUGAGGCAGGAGCACUCUCAGAGAGGAGAUCAGUGAUCUGUGACAUAUCCCCAUUAAGGCAACUUGUAAGAGAUCCUGGCCCUCACCCCAUAGGGCACAUGGGUCCUGAGGCCAGAAGCGGAAGGAGUGAACGUCUUGCCCCUGGCUUGAGCCAGUCAGUAAUACUCCCUGGUGGUUUAGUAUCCAUGGAAACAAAGCUGAAAGCUCACAGUGGGCAAAUAAAGGAAGAAGAUUUUGAACAGUCAAAGAGCUCAGCUAGUCUCAACAAUAAAAAAACAGGAGACCAUUGUCAUCCUGCUGGCAUCAAACAUGAAUCUUUCCGAGGCAAUGCCAGCCCUGGAGCUGCAGUCUCCGAUGCUGCUCCAGACUACAUGCCCCAGCAGGACAACAGAUCGACACAGAUGAGACGAGGACCUGGCAGAACUGGAAGGGGUAAAUCACCCUCUCAAUAUCAGGAUCUUGCUGAUAAGCUGAAAAUGUCACCAGGCAGAAGCAGAGGCCCAGGGACAGAUCUGCAUCACAUGAACCCACACAUGACACUACCUGAAAGAGUUAGCAGGGGUUCCUUGCAUUCUGUCUACCCUCAGAAUUCGGAAGGCCCAUCUCUGGCUUCAGCAUAUCACACGAAUGCUAGGCCUCAUGCUUUUGGUGACCCCAACCAGAGUUUGAAUUCCCAGUAUCAUUACAAGAGACAGAUAUACCAGCAACAGCAAGAAGAAUACAAAGAUUGGGCAAGCAGCGCUGCUCAGGGUGUGAUUGCUGCAGCUCAGCACAGGCAGGAAGGAGCAAGGAAGAGCCCAAGACAACAGCAGUUUCUGGAAAGAGUAAGGAGUCCCUUAAAAAAUGACAAGGACGGAAUGAUGUACCUUCAAGGUAGCUCUUACCAUGAUACUGGAAGCCAGGAAGCUGGGCGCUGUGUCAUGGGGAGUGACAGCACUCAGAGCAAAUGCACCGAACUGAAACAUGGCAGCCAGAAGUUGCAGCAUCAUGAAUCUGGUUGGGACCUCUCUCGGCAAACUUCUCCUGCCAAAAGCAGCGGCCCUCUUGGAGCAGCCAACCAAAAAAGAUUUUGCCCUCAAGAAAGUGAUGGGCAUCGACGAGAGGAAUCUGCAGAUUUGCCCAAGCCUAGUAAUGCUAUGCUUAGGCUCCCUGGCCAGGAGGACCAGUCUCCACAAAACCCGUUAAUUAUGAGGAGGAGGGUCCGUUCCUUCAUCUCUCCGAUCCCUACCAAAAGGCAGCCACAUGAUAUGAAGAACAGUGGCAGUGAUGAUAAAGGGCGACUGAUGACUUCAGCAAAAGAAGGAGCUGAUAAAACAUACAACUCCUAUGCCCAUUCAUCUCAAAGCCAAGAUGCUGGCAAGUCAGUUGCAAAGGGAGAUUCCUUCAAGGACCUGCCAAGUCCUGAUAAUAGGAAUUGUCCUGCUGUUUCCCUCACAAGCCCGGCAAAGACCAAAAUAUUGCCCCCAAGAAAGGGGCGCGGAUUAAAACUGGAAGCUAUUGUUCAGAAAAUUACAUCUCCCAAUAUUAGGAGAAGUGUUUCUACCAAUAGUGCUGAAACUGGUCCAGAUACUGUCACUCUUGAUGACAUCCUGUCCCUCAAGAGUGGGCCUGAAGGAGGAAAUGUGGCUGGACAUGGACCAGAGGCUGAGAAGAGAAAAGGAGAGAUACCAGAUCAAGUGGGGCCAGCAAGCCAGGAUACAAGUGGUGAGAAAACUGUUCCGAGAUCUUCAGAAGAGUGGCAAAGCAGUGAGGAUGAUAAAAACAAAAAAGAGGUCCCUGAAACUGCCAGUAUUGGCAAAGAGGGAGCAGGAUCCAGUGCAGCACCACCACCUUCUCAGAAGUCAGGUGGUCAGGGAAGGUCUGAUGGAUCUGUAAGUGGAGCUGGAAAUCUGACCUUUUCCGACUCAAAAACAAUUUCCCCUUCCAGUGCGUUCAUUUCAGAACCAAACCCAAAGUCUGAAGAAAAAGAUGGAGAUGUGACAAACAUUUCACCCAAGCCAGAUGGUUUCCCUCCAAAGGGAUAUUUCCCCUCUGGAAAGAAAAAAGGGAGGCCAAUUGGGAGUGUGAACAAGCAGAAGAAGCAGCAGCAACAGCAGCAGCUGCCUGCGCCCCCGCCUCCCCCGCCAGCGCCAUCACAGCCUGCAGAAGGGGUGGGUGCUGGUGAGCCAAAGCCCAAGAGGCAAAGGAGGGAGAGACGAAAACCUGCAGCACAGCCACGGAAACGGAAGCCUAGACGGGCUGCUCCAAUCGUGGAGCCUCAAGAACCAGAGAUCAAGCUUAAAUACGCUACCCAGUCUGUAGAUAAAACCGACUCCAAGAAUAAGUCCUUUUUCCCUUAUAUUCACGUGGUAAACAAGUGUGAAUUAGGCGCUGUGUGCACAAUCAUAAACGCGGAGGAAGAGGAGCAGAACAAAUUGGUGAGGGGUCGGAAAGGACAGAGGUCUUCAACACCCCCUCCCAGCAAUGCAGAGAGCAAAGUGCUGCCCACCUCAACUUUCAUGCUGCAAGGCCCUGUAGUAACGGAGUCUUCUGUCUUGGGGCAUCUGGUUUGCUGCCUGUGUGGCAAAUGGGCCAGCUAUCGUAACAUGGGUGACCUCUUUGGUCCUUUCUACCCCCAGGAUUACGCAGCUACCUUGCCCAAGAAUCCACCUCCAAAGAGGGCCACAGAAAUGCAGAGCAAGGUCAAGGUACGGCACAAAAGUGCUUCUAAUGGUUCCAAGACAGAUACUGAAGAGGAGGAGGAACAGCAACAACAGAAGGAACAAAGAAGCCUGGCUGCUCAUCCCCGCUUUAAGAGGCGGCACCGCUCUGAGGACUGUAGCGGAGCCUCUCGGUCACUUUCAAGGGGAGCUUCUUGUAAAAAAGCAUCCACUGAUGGUGGCAGUGGUGGUGAAAAGACUCCUUUGGACUCAAAACCGUCUAUGCCCACUUCAGAAGGUGGCACUGAGCUGGAGUUACAAAUUCCUGAACUACCUCUUGACAGCAAUGAAUUUUGGGUCCAUGAGGGUUGUAUUCUCUGGGCCAAUGGGAUCUACCUGGUCUGUGGCAGGCUCUAUGGGCUGCAGGAAGCUGUGGAGAUUGCAAGAGAGAUGAAAUGUUCCCAUUGCCAGGAACCGGGAGCCACCUUAGGCUGCUACAACAAAGGCUGCUCCUUCCGAUACCAUUACCCAUGUGCCAUCGAUGCAGAUUGUUUACUAAACGAAGAGAAUUUCUCAGUGAGGUGCCCCAAGCACAAGGCAUGGGCAAGCUGCAGUUGUACAGGAGCCAGAGACAGCAACACGGCCCUGACACUCCCUCAGCGAGGGCUCGCCGUUGCGCGGUAAUGAAACCACAGAGGGCAGCUGAGCUCUCUGGGAACCUCCCCCUUUCCUCCUCAGCUGCUGCUCCCUGGCCUUGCCCGUCUGCAUUUUGUGUGUGCUUGCCUGACUCUUCACUCACUCGCAGCCUGGCACCUGGGUGGGGGAUAUCUGCAGCCAAGAGUUGGGCUUGCUGGGAUGUAAUCUAAUUGGUGUGCCGAUGAUCAAAGCAGUAUUGACUUCUCCAUCUCACUUAGUUAGGGUUCCUGGAGUUUAAUUGCCAGCUAUGAACAAACAUGGGUGUUACUUUGCUCCCAGGCACACCUCUAAUUCCGUUAGCUGCUUUCCAUAUGCAUCACUUCUGGUGUAAGUUCUUUUCCCAAGCUCACUAGCUGGUAGGAGGGGAUUUAUCUAAAUCAUAUCUAACCUUACUAAAUAAAUAAAUUGCUGUUGGGCUCACUUGUGGUAUGGGAUAAGGGAAGGAAGGAAUACAUUAUUUCAAGCUUUGCUUUCUCUCUAUGCAGAAUAAGAAUGAGAACCCUAACUUAGAGAAAUUAAAUUAUAACUUUGUAACUUCUCUUUUGAGCUGAGCCUCCACCAACUUAGCAAACUCCUGAAGUUCAUUUUCUCACCUCGGAGAAUUUCUGGACAGGGAGAACAUGUGCCAAGCACUUGGACGUUUCCACAUUUGUCUUGAAAGACAUCACAAGCUUAGUCCUUCUAUGAACUGUCUCUGUAAUAUGAAAAUUAGAUCCAAAAAGCAGCAGAAAGAAAUAUCACCUGCCCUUCGAUUAGUUAAACCACACACAGCUUUACCUUUAGCUGGUGAAAUCUGGCAAUUUCCCAGGAUUGGUUCCUGGACUCCUGUAAUUUUGACACUAGUUGCACUAUCUGCUAUAUAUUCACUGGAAACCACCACUGGAUGGCCCAUAGGGAAACAUUUGGAUGCAGUCCUUGAUGGCAUCCCAGGAGCUGUCACCAUGUUGGGACAUGCUUGGCCCCUGUCUUUCCCAAACUCACGGUCAGUGUGAGGAGCGGACAUGAGGUUAGGCUGUUGAGAUAAAAAGCGGUGGACAUUCGUGACUGAAUGGAAUCUCUCCCACUGUGCAGCCAUGCCCCCUCUCGACGUGCCUGCCAAUGCCAGCACUUCCUUCAUAAAUUCUUACAUCACACUCAAGACUGAUGACAUCACAGAAUCUGACCAAGGAGUCUGAACCAGCUGUUUCCAUGGACACAAUCUCCAUAGUGACAGUGGGGAGGGGAGGGGGAAAAAGGAAACA